rnacentral:rRNA from 1 species
ACUCCUACGGGAGGCAGCAGUGGGGAAUAUUGCACAAUGGGCGCAAGCCUGAUGCAGCCAUGCCGCGUGUGUGAAGAAGCUCCGUUCGGAUGUAAGCACUUUCAGUCGUGAGGAAGGUAGUGUAGUUAAUAGCUGCAUUAUUUGACGUUAGCGACAGAAGAAGCACCGGCUAACUCCGUGCCAGCAGCCGCGGUAAUACGGAGGGUGCGAGCGUUAAUCGGAAUUACUGGGCGUAAAGCGCAUGCAGGUGGUUUGUUAAGUCAGAUGUGAAAGCCCGGGGCUCAACCUCGGAAUUGCAUUUGAAACUGGCAGACUAGAGUACUGUAGAGGGGGGUAGAAUUUCAGGUGUAGCGGUGAAAUGCGUAGAGAUCUGAAGGAAUACCGGUGGCGAAGGCGGCCCCCUGGACAGAUACUGACACUCAGAUGCGAAAGCGUGGGGAGCAAACAGGAUUAGAUACCCUGGUAGGAUAGCGU